UCAUGUUACUUUACCCACCGUAAUGUGACCAUCAGAAAUGCAUAUUAUAUCUCUCACAUAUUCAUCUAUUUGUUGUUAAACUGUUCAUGCAGUUUUACUUCACCACAGGAUCAGAGAAGAUCCCCUGAAGAGUGGAGAAAGAGAGAGAAGACAUUCCUACUGAAUCUGUGUCUUCAAGCAGCCCUCCAUGCGAGAGAACACAUACAAACAACUGUAGAGAAAGUGUUUUCAUUGUCUGAAGUUUAUCAUGAUCGGAAAUGGGAUUUCCUGCUGGAUCUGUACUCACAUGUGAAGGACUAUGAGACUCAAACAGGCAGGAAUGUCCUUCCAGCAUUACAGCCAGUUUACCAGUCAGCUCCUGCAGUCUGGUCCAUAGACCUCUCAGAGAGAAAGGCCUCCCUCCUCCUAGAAGUGCUGAAACUCCAACCAGAGAAGAAACCAGUAGAGCUGGAAGGCUUGUCAGAUGAAGAGAGUGAAGUGAGGAGUUUCCUUCAGUGUCUGCCCUACAUCUCACAGCUGAGGCUGAAUGUGGGUAUGGCAGUGAAACUGUCCAGACUGGUUAGGAGGACAGAGAGAGGUGCUACUCCACUGACUGUCCCAGAACUCUCCCUGGUCCUAAAGAGCAGCCAGCCACCAGAGAGAGUGUUAUCCAGGGCUCUGAGUAGUGUGGCGUCCCUGCUGAGACUCUGGAGGGUUCAGUGUCUGGACCUGACUGACUUCUGGAUCCAGGGUCACUCUCUCAUCACACUGCUGUGUCACCAGGGACCUCUCUCUCUCAGACUGAACUCAGACACUCUGCAGCAGCUGGCUGUGGCUGUGUAUGAAGCUCAGGACAAGGACUUGACUCAGUGGUUCCUGGAGAAGGUUGGUGGAGACCUGACCUCCUGCAGGCUGGACUGGGACGUGCUUCUCUCUCUGCUGCAGCAUUCAACCCACAACAUCACAGUGGACCUCAGGAAGAACAGGCUUCUAGAGAAGAACAUCUCAGAUCUUCUCCCCUUUCUGGGAAGGGUUAUAUUCAAGAGGUGACUGAACUUAAUUUUAUAUUUAAAGACUUUUUUAGAAAGAAGAAAACAAAUAUUUUACCCAGUGACAUUGUUUUGAGUUAUACCCUGUAUUAUCAUUAGGGUUAUAUGCAAGAGGUGUUUGAUCUUUAUUUAUUGAUAUUGAUAUUGAUAUUGAUAGACUGUUAAAUGUUCUACCCAGCUAGUUGUUGCUAUGUGAGUUGUCCUUUUUAAAACCUUAACAUAACCAUGACAAUGCAUUCUACAUCCAAUCUUCUUUCUGAAGGCUCAGUUCCAGCUUUGUGAAGUCCACCAUCAGACAGAUCUAUGACAGUAGAGACAGUGACUGUGUGUCCAGUUUGUUGAGGUCUUCAGACCAUUGGAUCAACCUGAACAGCAGAGAGCUGGACAGAGUGGACUGUACUGCUCUGUGUUUCACCCUGCAGCACAGCCACCAAGUCAAAGUCAACCUGCUGUGGACCUCCAUACCACCGGGGGAGAUAGAGAGCAUCCUGCCUCUUCUGGACAGAGUCUCCCAACUCAGGUUUAGUUGGCACUCUUUGACCAUUUUAGAAUGGAUAGAACUAUGGUGCUUUACACUGUCUGACUGAUUUUAACCACUAACCCUAACCUUAGUGUAAUGCACUUACCUUACCCUCAGGGGUGGAAUUGAAGGGGAACACGUGGGAGUUGAUGUGAUACACAGAGUUGUAGUGUGUUUUAUCAGUGUUUUAUUGUGUGCUGGUGUGUAAAUAAUCCUGUCUCUCUCUCUCUCUCUCUCCCUCCUGCUGUAGUGUUGACAGGAAGCUGUUGCUGAGUUUCCUCCACUCCUGCGCUGCCUCUCAGAUCCUACAGGGGGCACUAUCACCACCACCAACAAUAACAACAACAGCAGCAGAGCUGCUCAGGGCUCUGCAGCACAGGUUGGACUUCUCCUGCUCCUCCUCUGUGGACCUGUCAGCUCACGACCAGGGGGAGGCGCUGUGUCUGACCACUGACCACUGUAGGGCCAUAAACUCUGUUCUGAAGCAGAGCCAACACAGCACACGGCUGGUUCAGAACCCGACCCGGAACCAGUCCCGAAACCAGCCCCAGGUGCAACUCAUCCUUAAAGACUGUGAGGUGGAGCAUGGAGCACUGAGAGAGCUGCUUCCCAUCUUGCAUAUUGUCAAGCUGAGGUUAGACACACAAGGACAAACUAGUUUAUAAAAGUAGGAGUUAGAGCUGUCUCAUAAUGUUAUCUCUGGUUAUUGUCCCCUCAGCCCCAGCAAAGCUCUGCUACUUCAGCUGCUGGACCAUGUGUGUGAGGGGAUUGAAGAGGGGGUUCUGAAGCACGCAGAGUCCCUGUGCAGAGCCCUGGAUGGGGAGCUGGACCUCAGUAAGACCAGGCUGAACCAGAAGGCCUGUGGAUCUCUGGCCCUGGUUCUGGAACACUCAGAGGGGCUGUCAGAACUGUACCUCAACCACUGCCAACUCACAGACCACCACCUACAGCCCCUGCUCACACACCUGCACAAAGUUGAAGUCCUGGAGUGAGUGGGUUUCACUCUGUGUGUGUGUGUGUGUGUGUGUGUGUGUGUGUGUGUGUGUGUGUGUGUGUGUGUGUGUGUGUGUGUGUGUGUAAAACC
rnacentral:lncRNA from 8 species